AACGAACGCUGGCGGCAGGCCUAACACAUGCAAGUCGAGCGAGGACUUCGGUCCUAGCGGCGGACGGGUGAGUAACGCGUGGGAACGUGCCCUUUGCUUCGGAAUAGCCCUGGGAAACUGGGAGUAAUACCGGAUGAGCCCUUUGGGGGAAAGAUUUAUCGGCGAAGGAUCGGCCCGCGUUGGAUUAGGUAGUUGGUGGGGUAAUGGCCUACCAAGCCGACGAUCCAUAGCUGGGUUGAGAGGAUGAUCAGCCACACUGGGACUGGGACACGGCCCAGACUCCUACGGGAGGCAGCAGUGGGGAAUCGUAGACAAUGGGGGAAACCCUGAUCGAGCCAUGCCGCGUGAGCGAUGAAGGCCUUAGGGUUGUAAAGCUCUUUCAGCUGGGAAGAUAAUGACGGUACCAGCAGAAGAAGCCCCGGCUAACUCCGUG
rnacentral:rRNA from 1 species